GCCGGUGUGGCUCAAUGGAUAGAGCGUCGGCCUGCGGACCAAAGGGUCCCGGGUUCAAUUCCCGCCAAAGGCA
rnacentral:tRNA from 1 species